CAAUAGCGUAUAUUAAAGUUGUUGCGGUAAAAAAGCUCGUAGUUGGAUUUCUGUUGAGAGCGACCGGUCCAUACCAUGUAUGCGUAUCUGGCUUGCUCUCGGCAUCCUCUCGAUAGACGUUGCUGCGCUUGAUUGCGUGGCGCGGAUCUCGGGACUUUUACUUUGAGGAAAUUAGAGUGUUCACGGCAGGCUUUCGCCAGAAUACAUUAGCAUGGAAUAAUACUAUAGGAUCUUGGUUCUAUUUUGUUGGUUUCUAGAAUUGAGAUAAUGAUUAAUAGGGACAAUUGGGGGCAUUCGUAUCAACACGUCAGAGGUGGAAUUCUUGGAUUGUGUUGCGACGAACUACUGCGAAANCANNNGCCAAGGAUGUUUUCAUNGA
rnacentral:rRNA from 1 species